GAUGAACGCUGGCGGCGUGCUUAACACAUGCAAGUCGAGCGAAGCGCUUUUGCGGAUUUCUUCGGAUUGAAGCAACUGUGACUGAGCGGCGGACGGGUGAGUAACGCGUGGGUAACCUGCCUCAUACAGGGGGAUAACAGUUGGAAACGGCUGCUAAUACCGCAUAAGCGCACAGUACCGCAUGGUACCGUGUGAAAAACUCCGGUGGUAUGAGAUGGACCCGCGUCUGAUUAGCUAGUUGGUGGGGUAACGGCCUACCAAGGCGACGAUCAGUAGCCGACCUGAGAGGGUGACCGGCCACAUUGGGACUGAGACACGGCCCAAACUCCUACGGGAGGCAGCAGUGGGGAAUAUUGCACAAUGGGGGAAACCCUGAUGCAGCGACGCCGCGUGAGCGAUGAAGUAUUUCGGUAUGUAAAGCUCUAUCAGCAGGGAAGAAAAUGACGGUA
rnacentral:rRNA from 1 species